rnacentral:rRNA from 1 species
GAUGAACGCUGGCGGCGUGCCUAAUACAUGCAAGUCGAGCGAACAGACGAGGAGCUUGCUCCUCUGACGUUAGCGGCGGACGGGUGAGUAACACGUGGAUAACCUACCUAUAAGACUGGGAUAACUUCGGGAAACCGGAGCUAAUACCGGAUAAUAUAUUGAACCACAUGGUUCAAUAGUGAAAGACGGUUUUGCUGUCACUUAUAGAUGGAUCCGCGCCGCAUUAGCUAGUUGGUAAGGUAACAGCUUACCAAGGCAACGAUGCGUAGCCGACCUGAGAGGGUGAUCGGCCACACUGGAACUGAGACACGGUCCAGACUGCUACGGGAGGCAGCAGUAGGGAAUCUUCCGCAAUGGGCGAAAGCCUGACGGAGCAACGCCGCGUGAGUGAUGAAGGUCUUCGGAUCGUAAAACUCUGUUAUUAGGGAAGAACAAAUGUGUAAGUAACUAUGCACGUCUUGACGGUACCUAAUCAGAAAGCCACGGCUAACUACGUG